AACGAACGCUGGCGGCAGGCUUAACACAUGCAAGUCGAACGCGCCCUUCGGGGCGAGUGGCAGACGGGUGAGUAACGCGUGGGAACCUACCUUUUGGUACGGAAUAACUCAGGGAAACUUGAGCUAAUACAGUAUAAGCCCUGACUUUUAAUCGGGUUUGGGGAAAGAUUUAUCGCCAAAGGAUGGGACCGCGUCGGAUUAGCUAGUUGGUGGGGUAAUGGCCUACCAAGGCGACGAUCCGUAGCUGGUCUGAGAGGAUGAUCAGCCACACUGGGACUGAGACACGGCCCAGACUCCUACGGGAGGCAGCAGUGGGGAAUUUUGGACAAUGGGCGCAAGCCUGAUCCAGCAAUGCCGCGUGCAGGAAGAAGGCCUUCGGGUUGUAAACUGCUUUUGUACGGAACGAAACGGCUCUGGUUAAUACCUGGGGCUAAUGACGGUACCGUAAGAAGAAGCCCCGGCUAACUU
rnacentral:rRNA from 1 species